UGGGGAAUUUUGGACAAUGGGGGAAACCCUGAUCCAGCCAUCCCGCGUGUGCGAUGAAGGCCUUCGGGUUGUAAAGCACUUUUGGCAGGAAAGAAACGUCGCGGGUUAAUACCCCGCGAAACUGACGGUACCUGCAGAAUAAGCACCGGCUAACUACGUGCCAGCAGCCGCGGUAAUACGUAGGGUGCAAGCGUUAAUCGGAAUUACUGGGCGUAAAGCGUGCGCAGGCGGUUCGGAAAGAAAGAUGUGAAAUCCCAGAGCUUAACUUUGGAACUGCAUUUUUAACUACCGGGCUAGAGUGUGUCAGAGGGAGGUGGAAUUCCGCGUGUAGCAGUGAAAUGCGUAGAUAUGCGGAGGAAUACCGAUGGCGAAGGCAGCCUCCUGGGAUAACACUGACGCUCAUGCACGAAAGCGUGGGGAGCAAACAGGAUUAGAUACCCUGGUAGUCCACGCCCUAAACGAUGCAACUAGCUGUUGGGGCCUUCGGGCCUUGGUAGCGCAGCUAACGCGUGAAGUUGACCGCCUGGGGAGUAC
rnacentral:rRNA from 1 species